GUUUCAGCAGAAAGAAAGAUGCUGUAGAAAUAAAUAAAGUUUGACUUUAAGUUUAAAUUGAAUGAGUGUUUCUUAUCCAUCACUACUGGCUCACAACAUGGACACUAUUAGAAACCAGCGUCUAAAAUAACAAACAUCUGUUAGACCCAGAGGUUUAUUGGAGACUGGCAUCAGUUUGAAGAAAAACUGAAACCCACUGACUUUUCUCUGACUUUUGUUUUGCUUUUUUUGUCUUCUAUAUAUAUAUAAUAAAAGUUCACAAACUGAUUAUUCAUUGACGCUGCACUUUCUAAUCAUUUUUAGUGAGUAAAAAUGAUGGAUGCUUAGAGCUAUUAUCAUAUUUAAAACAUUUUAGAUGAUUUAAAUGAAGUUAAAUAUAUUUGUUUUUCAUCAAAUCUUGACAUGAACCAUGUUCCUUCUCCUGACAUGUCAGAAACAUGUUUAGACACCAACGAUACCGACAUCCUACCUUAAUCCUUCUCUUUGUAACGUGCAAAACCUCCAGAGGUGAUGCUGGAUUUCUGAUGCACAUUCUUUGUUUCAGUCUUUGUGAAGAAUGAAAUCCUGCCAGAACAGAAACGACCUCAGUUCAUGUUUGACUUUCAUGUAGAAUCAUUACAGGAAACACAUUGAAAUAUUUUAGUGGAGUUUAGUUCAGCCCCUCAAAGCUAAAAUACAGUCAGUUUCUCUGUAAGACUCGGCUGCUGGUUGACAUGCAGCUGGGUCAGGAUUUCUUGUAAACGGACAGGAAGAGGAGGAAAUGGUCACGCGGACAUACCGCACCCAUACCCCCCCACACACACAGAGGCUCUCAAACUCAGCAGAGUUCGUCCGCGCUGACGGAGUUUCUUGGAGCAGACACAGACUUUGGAGUUUCCUCCGUUUUCUUCUUCUGUCCCGACCUCCUCGGUUCUUUACUCGCCAAGACUACAAGCAUGGCUCAUGUGUGUCAUUUCCUGUCAUGUGAUGGUGGUCUAAUGGACCAAUCAUAAUCAUACACGUCAUCAAGUCGCAAGGCCCCGAGCCGAGCACAUGUGGUACCUGCCAGGAGCCACACACCUGAUACAACACCAGUUUCUGGGCCCUAGUGCCCUAAAUGUUAGAACUCUUGGUUACAUUGGAUUUAAAGUCUCCCACUGCUGUCUGACUGCACUCACCUGAACCUGAGAGGAAACACAAGAGAAGAGCCAAUCAGUGGAGGAGCAGCUGAUCCAUCUGUGAUGAU
rnacentral:lncRNA from 1 species